UUCAGGUGCACGUGAUGGACAACGUGGUGUCAGCAGAGGUUCGUAGAUCUGACCAUGCUGUGUGAGGCACAGCUCUGUGCUCUCUGCCACAAGUGCUGCAUUGUUUGAGCCGAGGAAACAAAGGAAUGUGCUCGUGUGCUGUUCACACUCUGCUGGACCCUCGAACCAUAAGAACAACGCAUGGCUGGAUCCCUGUGUUCAGAUGCCCAGUUGAACUGAGAGGUAUUUCACUUAUGAGGACAAACGUUGGACGUAGAGGUAACAACUUAAGAAUGUGAAGUUUGUAUUACUGGGAAACUAUUCUCUGUACUCUGUUCUUCUCUGAAUUCCCAGGUUAAAAUCAAACAAUCAAAGCUGUGUAAGAGGAUCUCAUAAGGAUUCUAUUGAGUAGAUU
rnacentral:lncRNA from 7 species